UGGUGGGGAAAGAAAUGCCAAGGAAAAAGCAGUGGUACUCAUUUCACAUGGAAAUCUAUGUUCACAUGGUACAAUAGGGCCUACC